GACAGAGGGGGCAAGCGUUGCUCGGAAUUACUGGGCGUAAAGGGCGCGUAGGUGGCGACCCAAGUCGAUGGUGAAAGCUCGCCGCUCAACGGCGAGUCGGCCACUGAUACUGGGUUGCUGGAGCACUGUAGAGGCAGAUGGAAUUCCGGGUGUAGCGGUGGAAUGCGUAGAGAUCCGGAAGAACACCGGUGGCGAAGGCGGUCUGCUGGGCAGUUGCUGACACUGAGGCGCGACAGCGUGGGGAG
rnacentral:rRNA from 1 species